rnacentral:tRNA from 1 species
CGGUGGGGUGGCAGAGCGGCCUAUUGCGCCUGCCUUGAAAGCAGGUAUCCUCACGGAUUCCUGGGUUCAAAUCCCAGCCCCACCGU